rnacentral:rRNA from 1 species
GAUGAACGCUGGCGGCGUGCCUAAUACAUGCAAGUCGAGCGAACAGACGAGGAGCUUGCUCCUCUGACGUUAGCGGCGGACGGGUGAGUAACACGUGGAUAACCUACCUAUAAGACUGGGAUAACUUCGGGAAACCGGAGCUAAUACCGGAUAAUAUAUUGAACCGCAUGGUUCAAUAGUGAAAGACGGUUUUGCUGUCACUUAUAGAUGGAUCCGCGCCGCAUUAGCUAGUUGGUAAGGUAACGGCUUACCAAGGCAACGAUGCGUAGCCGACCUGAGAGGGUGAUCGGCCACACUGGAACUGAGACACGGUCCAGACUCCUACGGUAGGCAGCAGUAGGGAAUCUUCCGCAAUGGGCGAAAGCUUGACGGAGCAACGCCGCGUGAGUGAUGAAGGUCUUCGGAUCGUAAAACUCUGUUAUUAGGGAAGAACAAAUGUGUAAGUAACUAUGCACGUCUUGACGGUACCUAAUCAGAAAGCCACGGCUAACUACGUG